rnacentral:lncRNA from 1 species
GAUGCUUGCUCAUUCAUGUAUGCUUCAAAUCUAUUAUCUAUUAACCUAUAUGAAUUUCCAAUGAUUUUGCCACGUGGCAAGUUUUUCUUCACCCUCACUGACUCUUUUUUUGAAUUGAUCUUUACUCUUAACUUUUGCCCUCCCUUCCUCUCUAUUCAAUGACGUAUAAUCAAUGUGCUUUUAAUUUAUACGUUCUUGAGUGUUUCCUCUUCAAUAUUAGUGCUUUCUUCCCCCUCAAAUUAUUUCUAACAUGCAAAAUUAAAAGAUGAGAAGAUGAGUAGUUACUAUUUUCAGAUCUAGAGAUUGGGGAAGAGCAAGGGAGUCCUGCGAGCCCUAAUCUGUGCCAAUCCGACUUGACCUGACCCCCCCCUCGGAUCAAGAGAGUGCUUUUAAGGUUUCUAUUUAUGUCGAUUUCUUCGGAUUUAUGAAAAAAGAAGGUAAACGAACGGUUUUUUCAAUAGAGGAAGCUAAUUGGACAGUGAUAAUGGACGGAUCGAGGGAUAGGUUUGGGAAACGAAAAUUCUAAACCUAAAUUUUCUUUUUUUUUUAUUUUAAUCUCAAAUUCUUACUGCGUAUCUAUUUAUAAUUUAAUUUACUUGCAUUAUUUUCGAUAUGGUGGUUGUAUCAAUCAAGAAUUUGAUUUAUGUGCAUUAUUUUGAUUAAUUUAGAGGUUAAUUUUGAUUUCAUAAUUGAUGUGGCAGUUUUGGUCCAUAACUUCUGACCAUCCCAUACCCAAAAGGGUGCAAACUCCUGCAAACUUCUAUGAGAUUUUUAUCGUCAUCGUAACAUUAUCAUUUCCAUCUUCAUUCGACGUUUGUUUUUGUUUGAAUGGUAAUUCUGGGCCGUUAUCAAUUUUCAAUGAUCAUAUUGGUUACUUCAAUUCAUACAUUUCCCUACCGAAAAAUAAAACACACUUAGAAUUUUUAUUUUCCAAACUCCUUUCUUCUCCCUCUUCAAUAUUUUUUGUUAUUUCUUCUAUUAUUUAUCCGCCGCAUUGCGCGGGUUGCUACACUAGUUUAAUAUGAUUAUUGAUAUCACGUAUGCUUUAAAUUUAAUAUGAUUAUUGAUAUGAUAUAUGCUUUGAUUUCGAUAUAAUUGAUAUCAUGUAUGCUUUGAUCAUUGUUA